rnacentral:lncRNA from 1 species
CUUUAAAUGUCUCUUCUAACUGAAAUGAUUCUGUGAUUCUACACUGGGAUUCAACUCUGUGCUCAUUUGUCAGAAAGAAGUGGAAAUGUUUUCAGAGCAUGAAUUCAGCCAACUGAAGGUGUUUUGAUGAUGUAAGCAGUCUGACCUUUGAAGAGCUUUACAAAAGACAAUAAAAGGAUAGAAUCA